rnacentral:rRNA from 1 species
CCUACGGGUGGCAGCAGUGAGGAAUAUUGGUCAAUGGACGAGAGUCUGAACCAGCCAAGUAGCGUGAAGGAUGACUGCCCUAUGGGUUGUAAACUUCUUUUAUAAGGGAAUAAAAUGAGCCACGUGUGGCAUUUUGCAUGUACUAUAUGAAUAAGGAUCGGCUAACUCCGUGCCAGCAGCCGCGGUAAUACGGAGGAUCCGAGCGUUAUCCGGAUUUAUUGGGUUUAACGGGAGCGUAGGUGGGUUGUUAAGUCAGUUGUGAAAGUUUGCGGCUCAACCGUAAAAUUGCAGUUGAAACUGGCAGUCUUGAGUACAGUUGAGGUAGGCGGAAUUCGUGGUGUAGCGGUGAAAUGCUUAGAUAUCACGAAGAACUCCGAUUGCGAAGGCAGUUCACUAAACUGCUACUGACACUGAGGCUCGAAAGUGUGGGUAUCAAACAGGAUUAGAUACCCUAGUAGUC